rnacentral:lncRNA from 1 species
GGACGUGGAUAUGAAAUAGACAACAUGAAUUUAUUCUAGGACUUAACCGCAUGCUAUUUUCUCAAUGGUGGACAGCUCAUCAACAGCGAGGCGCUAGCAGUGAUUUCGUCAAUCUCAAGUAUUUGUCGGCUUAGUUUUUCGAAGGUGCUCAUAGGGUUGGGUUGCGGGCGUGUGUUCGUAAAGCGAGUAUACGUACGUGUAUAUGAGUGUAUGCAUAUGUACUAGUAUAUGAUUCUAAAAAAUGCAUAAUUAUUUUGUUGUCCAAGCAAUUUUAAAACAGUGGCCAUCAUACAUGAAACGAUAAAUAUGCGUAAUUAUUU